rnacentral:rRNA from 1 species
UACGGAGGGUGCAAGCGUUGCUCGGAAUUAUUGGGCGUAAAGGGUGGGUAGGUGGUCUCGUUUGUCUGAGGUGAAAUCCUUGAGCUUAACUCAAGAAGUGCCUCAGAAACGGCGAGACUAGAGUUCUGGAGAGGGUCGUGGAAUUCCCGGUGUAGCGGUGAAAUGCGUAGAGAUCGGGAGGAACACCAGAGGCGAAGGCGGCGGCCUGGACAGAUACUGACACUCAACCACGAAAGCGUGGGGAGCAAACAGG